AAAAGUAUGUAAGAUGUCACACAGUGUUUGAGCAGAUACAUUUUAUCCUUUAGUUCUGAUUGGAAUGAAUCGACCUCAGUAGCUGAUAAGGAAGUCACCAAUGAAAGCCCUGCCCAGAAUGAAUUGACUUUGGAAACCUAUGAGGAAUUCACUAAUGAAAUAAUUGCCCUGACUGAAUUGAAAUCAGACAGCUUUGAAGACAUGUGAGAUAUAAAUGAAUAAAGAUAAAUAUAUAUUUAUAUGGACAUACA